GACUGUGUAUAUAAGAAGAGAGCUGUGUCAUGUCAGAGCACACUCUACAUCUACCAGUUUCAGUAACUCCAGUCGAUCCACCUUGAAAGCAAAAGUUAAAAUGAAGGCCGCCAUCUUUGCACUUCUAUUUGUUGUCCUCUUGGUGAGUGUGAUCCUGGUCAAGGACGUUGAAUGCCAUUGUCACAAAAGCAGCUCAGGAUUAGGCUCCGCGCUGCCCUUAUUACUGGCAGCUGGCGUCCUUGGCAACGGAGCCGCAGCUGGUGGCGCCAUUGCAGGAAGAUAAAGGAUAACCACUUGGUCUGCAGGCGAUGGACUGAGCUCAGGCUUCUCCUGUAGACUCGCCAAUCACAUCUCAGGACUUUGUCUACUGGUCUUUAUAAGCAUUGUACUUUUCUAAUGAAAUAAAGUUUCUAAUUAACUCUAAA
rnacentral:sRNA from 1 species